UGGGGAAUAUUGCACAAUGGGGGAAACCCUGAUGCAGCAACGCCGCGUGAAGGAAGAAGGCCUUUGGGUCGUAAACUUCUGUUCUGAGGGAAGAAGAAAGUGACGGUACCUCAGGAGAAAGCCCCGGCUAACUACGUGCCAGCAGCCGCGGUAAUACGUAGGGGGCAAGCGUUGUCCGGAAUUAUUGGGCGUAAAGAGUACGUAGGCGGUUUGCUAAGCGCAAGGUGAAAGGCAGUGGCUUAACCAUUGUAAGCCUUGCGAACUGACAGACUUGAGUGCAGGAGAGGAAAGCGGAAUUCCUAGUGUAGCGGUGAAAUGCGUAGAUAUUAGGAGGAACACCGGUGGCGAAGGCGGCUUUCUGGACUGUAACUGACGCUGAGGUACGAAAGCGUGGGGAGCAAACA
rnacentral:rRNA from 1 species